AUUGAACGCUGGCGGCAGGCCUAACACAUGCAAGUCGAACGGUAACAGGAAGAAGCUUGCUUCUUUGCUGACGAGUGGCGGACGGGUGAGUAAUGUCUGGGAAACUGCCUGAUGGAGGGGGAUAACUACUGGAAACGGUAGCUAAUACCGCAUAACGUCGCAAGACCAAAGAGGGGGACCUUCGGGCCUCUUGCCAUCGGAUGUGCCCAGAUGGGAUUAGCUAGUAGGUGGGGUAACGGUUCACCUAGGCGACGAUCCCUAGCUGGUCUGAGAGGAUGACCAGCCACACUGGAACUGAGACACGGUCCAGACUCCUACGGGAGGCAGCAGUGGGGAAUAUUGCACAAUGGGCGCAAGCCUGAUGCAGCCAUGCCGCGUGUAUGAAGAAGGCCUUCGGGUUGUAAAGUACUUUCAGCGGGGAGGAAGGGAGUAAAGUUAAUACCUUUGCUCAUUGACGUACCCGCAGAA
rnacentral:rRNA from 1 species